UAGUGUAUUAUUGGUCCUGAGAGAUUCCAUCAGUACCAGUACUCCAUCACUAUCAAUGUUAGUAUGGUUGAGAUGAAGGGCAGAUAGUGUGUGGUUGUAGAGUAAAAGUUCAGCUAGUGACUGAGCACCGGUUGAAGUGAUGUCAGCAUUGUAACUAAGAAAUAAGCCAGCAAUUGUUUUAUUAUUAAUUAAUGAUUGUGUUAGUGCAAUGACUGCAUCAUCAUUGAUGGAAUCAUUACUGAUCGAUAGUAUCCCUAAUGAAGUAUUGUUUGUUAUUUUGUGUGUUAGUAAGAGGAUGACAUCUUUUGUUAUUUUAGUGUUAUGUAUAGCAAAACACUUUAUUGUUCUUAUCUCUAGUGCUAGUGACAUCAGUAGGUAUACAAUAUCAGGUGAUGAGUGAUGGAGGUGAAUGUAUGGAUGACUGUCUGUUAAUUGACUGAUCACUUCCUGACAUUGACUUGCUGAUGGUUUAGUGAGGGAUACAUCAAAACUGGUCCACUUCACCUCUCUAGUCUCUUCUCCUAUUAAUAAACACAGUGAUGCUGGUUUUUGUACCAGUAAGUCAUUACAGCUGCUAGGAUGGAAUGGGUGUAGUCUAUCUUUUAUCAUGCAUUCCUUGGUCCAUUAUGCCAGCUAGUCAACUUCAAAGCACAAGCUAAUGUAAGCUUAAUGUAUACUUGUAGCAA